rnacentral:rRNA from 1 species
GAUGAACGCUGGCGGCGUGCUUAACACAUGCAAGUCGAACGGACGGACGAUAAUCUUGCUGCGCGGAUGUGAGGGGCGGGCGGGUGAGUAACACGAGUAUAACCUACCUAUAAGACUGGUAUAACUUCGGGAAACCGUAUCUAACACCGGAGAAGAUUUUGAACCGCAGGGGGCGAAAGUGAGAGACGGUGUUUCGGGCACUAAUAGAUGGUUCCGCGCUGGAUUAGCUAGUUGGUAAGGUAACGGCUUACCAAGGCUAGGAUGCAUAGCCGAAGUGAGAGGGUGAUCGGCCACACUGGAACUGAGACACGGUCCAGACUCCUACGGGAGGCAGCAGUAGGGAAUCUUCCGCAGUGGGCGAAAGCCUGACAGAGCAACGCCGAGUGAGUGAUGAAGGUCUUCGGAUCGUAAAAAUCUGUUAUUAGGGAAGAACCUCUGUGUCAUUAGACGUGGCGAGCUUGACGGUAACUGAUAAGAAAGCACCGGCUAACUACGUG